AGGCCUGGUUACAAAAAGCCAUGUACUUCAUGAACCGCUAAUCAGUAUAUCUAUUUGUAAGUCUAUUUGCCCUCGAAGUACUGUGUUGGAUAGUAGUUUUGAGUGGGAAGUGAAAUAAUUGUCCUAGAAAAAUGUCUUCCUUCUCCCAAUUCUUCUCUCUAGGGGUUGGGCUUGUCACAGGAAACGUCCUUGGAAUCUACAUUGCUCAGACGUAUGAGCUUCCUGACCUUCACUCAAUGUUUGAAGAUCUCUUUUACAAGGCAAAGAAACUUGAGGGAGAUACCAGAAAAACAGAGAAGAAAGAUGAUAGAUCUUGACAACUUGAAAUGGAUGAUCAGCUAGAAUUGUUGAUGGAGCUCAUUCAUAAUCAGCCAAAAAUCUUUUUAGGAAAAUCAGAGGAAGGAAAAGUUUUCAAAAACAGGUUGAAUCAACAGGUAGCUUUAGCAGAAAUGACUAACUAUUAGACCUAAUCCUCAAAAAUCAAAGACGAUGGGGGUAUCAAAAUAAUAUGACUUUUAAUAGGAUUCUACUGCUGGCCCGUACCCAGCAGAAAGCCCACUUGGGAUUGCAAAUAGACGUGCUAUUUGUAGCCAAAGACAGAACUAUAAAGCAAACUUUUUUAUGCAAAAUUGAUAAUAGACGUCCUGUGGAUAUCCUGCAAUGGCAUAAAAAAAAUCCUUUAUGUUCUUUCGGGGGUGGAAAACUCACACCCUCCCCCUCCCCCAGAAAAAUUAUCAACUUUUUCGGAUUUUGCACCCCCUCCCCCCUCCCCCCAAAGAAAAAUUCUGGGUACAGGCCUGUACUGUAUCAGGCAGGUGACAGAAGCCUGCGACAAACUAGGCUACUUCGUGAGCUUGUACGGGCGAAUUACAAUUACCAGCUAAAAAUCACCAGGUUUGUUUGCUGCCACAGCAGCAUUCAUCAAUGUCCAGAUGUCUUAAACUGGUGAUCAAAUUCGAUCGUUUGCUUUUGAAUUCGCUACUUCAAGCAUACAGAAUUGCCUAGUGUGUCAUAGGCUCAACAGAACCAAGAUUACCUUUUGUUCUUUGGGCUGCCUUCCUUCUCUUCUCUAUUGGGAUAUAGAAUAAUUGUAGCCCUGACUGGAAUACCCAUACCACAGUGCCUUUACACUUAUAAAAUGUGAGAUAUUGGACAAUUGUUUUCAAAUUCAAUCUGAUUUGUAUACAGUCAUGUGUAAAAUAUAGGCAGUACAGUAUAUAAACUUUUACAAAAGAAGCAUAAUUUAAGUGAAACAUGUACCAGAAAUUAGUAGGUAUUUAGCAACAACAACAUUAGGCUAUUACAAUACUUUUGGUUACACAAAGUGUAAGUGUUGUGGUUUGAAAUGCUUCUUGGUUUGAAAUUGUUAAAACCAGUUUGAAAAAAAUUCAAACCAUGCCACAUUUGUUGUGGUUUGAAAUGCUUCUUGGUUUGAAUUUUUUUCAAACUGGUUUUAACAAUUUCAAACCAAGAAGCAUUUCAAAUCACAACAUAAGUUAUUGAAUUCAGUUAUUUUGUACGUUUCAUUAAAAAAGGUUUCCUUGUAGGGUUAAAAAUGCACAUUACUAUAAUAAGGUGAUUUAAAUCCAUUAUGCCAGCCAUGCUCAAAGUCCAGUGUACUUUGUGACCACUGGAUCUUUCAGCAUUCAAGAUUCAAUUUUUUUACGGCGUCCUGUCCUGAAGAGGAUGUGAAAAAGCGUGAAAUGCUGUCCCGAAGAAUACGCACAUACACGAGGCAAUGUCCUCUUGCCUUGCCAACGUGGAUCUAAAUCACCCUAGUAGCUGACCUGACACAUACAUUGUUUCAUACCUUACAAAUCAUAGACACCAAGAAGUCAGGUAUUUAGUUGCAAUAGUAGAGCAUUGCAAGGUUUCCAAUAAAUAAGCUGUCACACUAUAA